rnacentral:rRNA from 1 species
GACGAACGCUGGCGGCGUGCUUAACACAUGCAAGUCGAACGGUGAAGCGCCUUCCUUUUUGGUUGGUGUGGAUGAGUGGCGAACGGGUGAGUAACACGUGAGUAACCUGCCCCCUUCUUCUGGAUAACCGCAUGAAAGUGUGGCUAAUACGGGAUAUUCUGGGUCUGUCGCAUGAUGGGUCUGGGAAAGAUUUUGUUUCGGUGGGGGAUGGGCUCGCGGCCUAUCAGCUUGUUGGUGGGGUGAUGGCCUACCAAGGCGGUGACGGGUAGCCGGCCUGAGAGGGUGGACGGCAACACUGGGACGGAGACACGGCCCAGACUCCUACGGGAGGCAGCAGGGGGGAAUAGUGCACAAUGGGCGGAAGCAUGAUGCAGCGACGCCGCGUGAGGGAUGGAGGCCUGCGGGUUGUGAACCUCUUUCGCCAGUGAAGCAGGGCUGCCUAGUUUGUGGGUGGGUUGACGGUAGCUGGAGAAGAAGCGCCGGCUAACUACGUG